GCGCAGCAGGCGAGAAACUUCACAAUGUGCGAAAGCACGAUGAGGGAAUCCCAAGUGCUUGCACGUAAGUGUAAGCUGUUUCUCUGUCUAAAACGCAGAGAGAGUAAGGGCUGGGUAAGACGGGUGCCAGCCGCCGCGGUAAUACCUGCAGCUCGAGUGGUGACCGUUAUUAUUGGGCCUAAAACGUCCGUAGCCGGUUUAAUAAAUGCCUGGGUAAAUCGGACCGCUUAACGGUUCGAAUUCCGGGUAGACUGUUAAACUUGAGACCGGGAGAAGUUAGAGGUACUCCUGGGGUAGAGGUGAAAUUCUGUAAUCCUAGGGGGACCACCAGUGGCGAAGGCGUCUAACUAGAACGGGUCUGACGGUGAGGGACGAAGCCCUGGGGCGCAAACGGG
rnacentral:rRNA from 1 species